rnacentral:misc_RNA from 1 species
CGUACAAGCGAAGGCCGCCAACGCGGAAAAACACAUAAAAAAGCGCACCCGCCCCACAGAGAGCGAUCUUGUAACGGGCACAAGUGUGGGACGGAGACACAAGAAGGCACACCGCUGUAUACAUAUAUAUACAAGGGAGCGAGGUGGUGUUGCUCGUCCCCCUCGCACCACAGCGGCCCUUCCCACCGCCCCAUUCAAGGCACACCCAUAAACACAUAGAGGCACAGUCUCACAGACUUCACAUAGAUACGAAGGGCGGGGAAGAGACACCGUUGGCGGUUGCAAGCGCACGCGCUUGUCUGUGCUCGCGCUCGUGCAGUGGUGGUGUCUACAUGCCCUCAAGUAUUGCGCUUUACCGAUAGGCUGUCUCCUUACCUAGCGGGCACCUGCACGACACACACCCGCACCGCAGACAAACCUCUUUCGAUUCAGCGUUGUCCUCCGUAUCCUUACCGUGACACGAACUCCCAACAGCGCGUACGGACAGUAGAGGGGCCGCGCUAGCUGCUUCGUCGAGGUUGUCUCGCGCCUACAGUGUGGUCUAGAGUCCGUCGGGUCUUCUUGUUCCCGCUUUUCGCUCUCCCUGGUUGCCCUUCCCCACUCUCACUGGGCCUCCGCAUCCCCUUUCCUCGUUCGCUGAUCAGAAGGUGUGGCGACAGGCCUACUGUUGCACCGUCACCUUCGCCUCCUGUCAUCCCCUCGAACCCCAACACCGCUUUUCCCCUCACCCGCACUACUUCACGCUCUCUCCGUCGUCUUCGCUGCACCAAAG